rnacentral:rRNA from 1 species
GACGAACGCUGGCGGCGUGCUUAACACUCGCAAGUCGAACGGAAAGGCCCUGCUUUUGUGGGGUGCUCGAGUGGCGAACGGGUGAGUAACACGUGAGUAACCUGACCUUGACUUUGGGAUAACUUCAGGAAACUGGGGCUAAUACCGGAUAGGAGCUUUUGCUGCACGGUGGGGGUUGGAAAGUUUCGUCGGAUGGGGAUGGACUCGCGGCUUAUCAGCUUGUUUGUGGGGUAUUGGCUUACCAAGGCUUUGACGGGUAGCCGGCCUGAGAGGGUGACCGGCCACAUUAGAACUGAGGUACGGCCCAGACUCCUACGGGAGGCAGCAGUGGAGAAUAUUGCAGAGUAGGCGGAAGCCUGAUGCAGAAGCGUCGCGUGCGGAAUGACGGCCUUCGGGUUGUAAACCGCUUUCGCCUGUAAUGAAGCGUGAGUGACGGUAAUGAGUAAAAAAGCAACGGCUAACUACGUG